UACGUAGGUGACAAGCGUUGUCCGGAUUUACUGGGCGUAAAGAGCGCGCAGGCGGUCGUUCAAGUCGAGUGUGAAAGCCCCCGGCUCAAUUGGGGAGGGUCAUUCGAUACUGAUCGACUCGAAGGCAGGAGAGGGAAGUGGAAUUCCCGGUGUAGUGGUUAAAUGCGUAGAUAUCGGGAGGAACACCAGUGGCGAAGGCGACUUCCUGGCCUGUUCUUGACGCUGAGGCGCGAAAGCUAGGGGAGCAAACGGG
rnacentral:rRNA from 1 species